GGGGAUUAGUGGCGAACGGGUGAGUAACACGUGAGUAACCUGCCCUUGACUCUGGGAUAAGCGUUGGAAACGACGUCUAAUACCGGAUACGAGCUUCCACCGCAUGGUGAGUUGCUGGAAAGAAUUUUGGUCAAGGAUGGACUCGCGGCCUAUCAGCUUGUUGGUGAGGUAACGGCUCACCAAGGCGACGACGGGUAGCCGGCCUGAGAGGGUGACCGGCCACACUGGGACUGAGACACGGCCCAGACUCCUACGGGAGGCAGCAGUGGGGAAUAUUGCACAAUGGGCGAAAGCCUGAUGCAGCAACGCCGCGUGAGGGACGACGGCCUUCGGGUUGUAAACCUCUUUUAGCAGGGAAGAAGCGAAAGUGACGGUACCUGCAGAAAAAGCACCGGCUAACUACGUGCCAGCAGCCGCGGUAAUACGUAGGGUGCAAGCGUUGUCCGGAAUUAUUGGGCGUAAAGAGCUCGUAGGCGGUUUGUCGCGUCUGCUGUGAAAUCCCGAGGCUCAACCUCGGGUCUGCAGUGGGUACGGGCAGACUAGAGUGCGGUAGGGGAGAUUGGAAUUCCUGGUGUAGCGGUGGAAUGCGCAGAUAUCAGGAGGAACACCGAUGGCGAAGGCAGAUCUCUGGGCCGCUACUGACGCUGAGGAGCGAAAGGGUGGGGAGCAAACAGGCUUAGAUACCCUGGUAGUCCACCCCGUAAACGUUGGGCGCUAGAUGUGGGGACCAUUCCACGGUUUCCGUGUCGUAGCUAACGCAUUAAGCGCCCCGCCUGGGGAGUACGGCCGCAAGGCUAAAACUCAAAGGAAUUGACGGGGGCCCGCACAAGCGGCGGAGCAUGCGGAUUAAUUCGAUGCAACGCGAAGAACCUUACCAAGGCUUGACAUAUACGAGAACGGGCCAGAAAUGGUCAACUCUUUGGACACUCGUAAACAGGUGGUGCAUGGUUGUCGUCAGCUCGUGUCGUGAGAUGUUGGGUUAAGUCCCGCAACGAGCGCAACCCUCGUUCUAUGUUGCCAGCACGUUAUGGUGGGAACUCAUGGGAUACUGCCGGGGUCAACUCGGAGGAAGGUGGGGACGACGUCAAAUCAUCAUGCCCCUUAUGUCUUGGGCUUCACGCAUGCUACAAUGGCCAGUACAAAGGGCUGCAAUACCGUAAGGUGGAGCGAAUCCCAAAAAGCUGGUCCCAGUUCGGAUUGAGGUCUGCAACUCGACCUCAUGAAGUCGGAGUCGCUAGUAAUCGCAGAUCAGCAACGCUGCGGUGAAUACGUUCCCGGGCCUUGUACACACCGCCCGUCAAGUCAUGAAAGUCGGUAACACCCG
rnacentral:rRNA from 1 species